AGUCUCCAACCCGCCUCAGGUAUUUAAACAGAGACCGUUCAGUUGUCGUAGCACGUAUUUACCAGAGACCAUUAGGUUGUCGUAGCACGUAAUUCUAGAGUUGUCUGGCUGUAGUGGCACGUAAGUAACAUAUCCGUUGUCGUAGCACUUAUUUAUUUAAGAAGUCUCCAACAAAAUGGUUACAUUUUUACGAUGCCUCCAACAGAUGAAAAAAACGAAGUCUCCAACCAGCCUGUUAUUUAAACAGAGACCAUUAGGUUGUCGUAGCACGUAAUUUCUAGAGUUGUCUGGUUGUAGUGGCACGUAAGUAUGUAAAUGUAACAUAUCCGUUGUCGUAGCACUUAUUUAUUUAAGAAGUCUCCAACAAAAUGGUUACAUUUUUACGAUGCCUCCAACAGAUGAAAACAAAAA